AGCGCCCGCCUGGCAGGACGACUGAGCAAGGCUUUGGAAAACCAGAGAGAUUAGAGCGCAGAAUGGGGAAAUGGAGAGAGAACCUGAAAGAGCCCCAAACUCGAGGACCUAUUGCUCCCCAAGAAUAACAUCUUCCAGAACUAGACAGAAACUAGGCGUCUGAGAACCCUGAAAUCCUUGGAGGAGUAGCAUCAUCAUGACCCUCUGUGUUCCUUUUGGCAAAGGACUUGCUUCCAUUGUUUGUUUGUUCAAUUGUCUGUUAAAUAAAUAAAACUCUUUUCAUAUAUCUUUAAAAGUAGGUUGGUUCUAUUAUUUUGUGAUUACAAGCAAUGCUGCAGUCAUCAUUCUUGUACACUUCUCAUUGGCCACUGGUAUAUUUCCAUAGGGUGGAUGCCUGGAGAUUAGUUGUUCCAGCAUAGUGUUUACAUAGCUUUUAUUUCAUUCCGUUUUCUUUCCUUUGUUGCUUUAUUAGCUAAAACCCUUUUCUUAUUUCAGUGGCUGCUUUAGGGUUUCUGGGAUACGUCUUUAAUUUAUCACAGUCUGCUUUCAAGUGUCAUUAUAUCUCCCUUUCUGGCCUUUAUCCUAGUGUUAUGUAAUUUUACUUUAUGCAUUAUAAUCUGUGAUUCAUUAUUAUUACUUUUAUUUAUUAUGUCAAAUAUUUUUUAAAAGAUUUAAAUUAUAAGAAAAUGUGCUGUACAUGCUUUCUAAAUGCCAUUUCCAAUAUUCAUUUCUUUGUAUAGGCCCACAUUUUUAUCUGGGAUCCUUUUGCCUCUGCCUGGAGGACUCUUAAUAAGAUUUCUUGUAACGUGGGUUGGUGAAUUCUUUUAGCUUUUGUAUGUUUUUCAAUGUCCUUAUUUCACUCACAGUUUUGAAAUUUUAUUUUUGCAUAGAACUCUAGGUUAACUUUUCUUCUCUAGGCACUUUAAAAUUGUUACCAUUUAUGACGCAUUGUCAUUAUAAUAUCAUCUUUCUUUCCUGUAUUUGUAAGAAUGGCAUAAAGCCGGUUUCUUAUGGUCGUUAUAUAAUUUUCAGAAUGUGUAUUUAAAUUUAAAAUGUUAAAUUUUAC